rnacentral:rRNA from 1 species
GUGCCAGCCGCCGCGGUAAUACGUAGGUGGCAAGCGUUGUCCGGAAUUAUUGGGCGUAAAGCGCGCGCAGGCGGUUUCUUAAGUCUGAUGUGAAAGCCCCCGGCUCAACCGGGGAGGGUCAUUGGAAACUGGGGAACUUGAGUGCAGAAGAGGAGAGUGGAAUUCCACGUGUAGCGGUGAAAUGCGUAGAGAUGUGGAGGAACACCAGUGGCGAAGGCGACUCUCUGGUCUGUAACUGACGCUGAGGCGCGAAAGCGUGGGGAGCGAACAGGAUUAGAUACCCUGGUAGUCCACGCCGUAAACGAUGAGUGCUAAGUGUUAGAGGGUUUCCGCCCUUUAGUGCUGCAGCAAACGCAUUAAGUGCCCCGCCUGGGGAGUACGCUCGCAAGGGUGAAACUUAAAUGAAUUGACGGGG